GGAGUUAGCCGGUGCUUCUUCUGUGAGUGAUGUCCUUCCUGCCGGUUAUUGACCCGCAGGCCUUCUUCCUCACUGAAAGUGCUUUACAACCCGAAGGCCUUCUUCACACACGCGGCAUGGCUGGAUCAGGGUUGCCCCCAUUGUCCAAUAUUCCCCACUGCUGCCUCCCGUAGGAGUCUGGGCCGUGUCUCAGUCCCAGUGUGGCUGAUCAUCCUCUCAGACCAGCUACGGAUCGUCGCCUUGGUGAGCCGUUACCUCACCAACCAGCUAAUCCGACAUAGGCUCAUCCGAUAGCGCGAGGCCCGAAGGUCCCCCGCUUUCCCCCGUAGGGCGUAUGCGGUAUUAGCCUGGGUUUCCCCAGGUUAUCCCCCACUACCGGGCAGAUUCCUAUGCAUUACUCACCCGUCCGCCGCUCGCCACCAGGGAGCAAGCUCCCCGUGCUGCCGCUCGACUUGCAUGUGUUAGGCCUGCCGCCAGCGUUCAAUCUGAACCAAGAUCAAACUCUAGA
rnacentral:rRNA from 1 species